UCGAGAAUUUUUCACAAUGGGCGCAAGCCUGAUGGAGCGACGCCGCGUGGGGGAUGAAUGGCUUCGGCCCGUAAACCCCUGUCAUUUGCGAACAAUUCGUUUUGCCUAAUAAGCGAAACGUUGAUAGUAGCGAAAGAGGAAGGGACGGCUAACUCUGUGCCAGCAGCCGCGGUAAUACAGAGGUCCCGAGCGUUGUUCGGAUUCACUGGGCGUAAAGGGUGCGUAGGUGGCAGGGUAAGUCGGAUGUGAAAUCUCCGAGCUCAACUCGGAAAUGGCAUUGGAAACUACCCAGCUCGAGGGUUGGAGGGGGGACUGGAAUGCUUGGUGUAGCAGUGAAAUGCGUAGAUAUCAAGCGGAACACCAGUGGCGAAGGCGAGUCCCUGGACAACUCCUGACACUGAGGCACGAAAGCUAGGGGAGCAAACAG
rnacentral:rRNA from 1 species